rnacentral:rRNA from 1 species
CAACGUGGGGAACCUGCCCCAUAGUCUGGGAUACCACUUGGAAACAGGUGCUAAUACCGGAUAAGAAAGCGGAUCGCAUGAUCAGCUUUUAAAAGGCGGCGUAAGCUGUCGCUAUGGGAUGGCCCCGCGGUGCAUUAGCUAGUUGUAAGGUAAAGGCUUACCAAGGCGAUGAUGCAUAGCCGAGUUGAGAGACUGAUCGGCCACAUUGGGACUGAGACACGGCCCAAACUCCUACGGGAGGCAGCAGCG